CAGUGGCUCGAUCUUGGUUCACUGCAACCUCCACCUCCCAGGUUCAAGCGAUUAAAGAUGGUUUUUAUUGUUAUACUCAGGACUGUUAUCUCUGGAGACACAUUUGCCUGUGUUUUAAUAUUGGCUCUGUUUCUUUCUCUGCAAACUGAGGAUAAUAACAACACCUAUGUUAUUCAGUUACUGUGAGAAUUAAAUUUAUUAACACAAUAGUAUUAUAGUUAAUGCUCAGUACAAAUUAACAAUUAAUAAGAUAUGUAUAUGCUGAAUUACACUAGUAUGUUAAGAUGGAAAUGCCCUUUUAUAGCACGAGUUUUUUGAUCAAUAUAUUUAAUUUUUAAAAAUAAAUGUUGUAUAGAUACACAAUGAAAUACUAUUCAGCCUUAAAAGGUGGUAAAUUUCAUCAUUUGAAACAAUAUAGAUAAAUUUAGAAGACAUCAUACUAGAUGGAAUAAUCCUGACACAGAAAGACAAAUACUACAUGAUUAUAUAUAUAUAUACACAUACACACACACACAGAAUAAAGUUUAACUCGGGGUGCAAAGCAAGCCGCUAGAUCCAUAAAGAACCCAGCCAACCUGCAAAGGGAGGGGAGGGGAUGAGCUGUGAGGAGAGCGGGGCCCAAGAACCAUGUCUACCCGGGAGUCCUUUAACCUGGAAAGUUACAAAUUGGACAAAAGCUUCCGGCUAACCAGAUUCACUGAACUUAAGGCUGCAAAAUGCCCCAAGAUAUCCUGCAAAAAUUGCUGGAAUCUUUACAGGCGAACCACUUCCAAGAAGAUGAGCAAUUUUUGGAAGCCGUUAUGCCAAGGCUUGGCAUUGGAAUGGAUACUUGUGUCAUUCCUUUGAGACACAGUGGGCUUUCCUUGGUUCAAAUCACAGAUUACAUUUACCUGAUCGUAGACGACUCCUAUAUGAUGGGCAGGAUAGCAUGUGCCAAUGUCCUCAGUGACCUCUAUGCAAUGGGGGUCACGGAAUGUGGCAAUAUGCUGAUGCUCCUUAGAGUCAAUAAUAAAAUGAUCGACAGGGAAAGAGAUAAAGUGAUGCUUCUGAUUAUCCAAGGUUUUAAAGAUGCAGCUGAAUAAACAGGAACAUCUGUAACAGGCAGCCAAACAGUACUAAACCCCUGGAUUGUCCUGGGAGGAGUCGCUACCACUGUCUGCCAGCCCAGUGAAUUUAUCAUGCCAGACAAUGCAGUGCCAGGGGACGUGCUGGUGUUGACAAAACCCCUGGGGACACAGGUGGCAGUGACUGUGCACCAGUGGCUGGAUAUUCCUGAGAAAUGGAAUAAGAUUAAACUAGUGGUCACCCAAGAAGAUGUAGAGCUGGCCUACCAGAAGGUGACGAUGAACAUGGGGAGGCUCAACAGGACAGGCGGCCUUCUGAUCUGUUUACCACGUGAGCAAGCAGCUCGGUUCUGUGCAGAGAUAAAGUCCUCCAGAUGUGGUGAAGGCCACCAAGCAUGAUUAUUGGGAUUGUAGAGAAGGGCAACCACACAGCCAGAAUCAUAGACAAACCCUGGAUCAUCAAGAUUGCACCACAAGUGGCCACUCAAAAUGUGAAUCCCACACCUGGGGCCACCUCUUAAUCUAGACAGAAAUAGCUGUUUGGUUUUGUUUUUAAAUAGAUCUAUUUCCGUUAUCGUCACUUCAAUUAAAGACUAUAAGCAACAAAAAUCUCAUUAUAUCUACACAUCGGGUGACCUUAGGUCGGUUUGUAAGUGGAUACAAUUAAUAAAAUAAAAUCCAUUGCCUUUUUUUCUUGUUACAUUAACUGAAGAUGCACCUAAUCUUGAGGCAGCAUCUGAGUUAAGAAUUAUAUUGUUAUCUAAUACUGAUGACUCAUUUUGAAUCUUUCGACACUUAUCUCUUGCCACAUAGGCUCUUUUUAAAGGUGCUUUCACAUAGCACAGACAUAACCAGUAGUCGUGUCAAAUAGCAGUUGGUGUCUUCAUUUUACGUAUAUUUAUCAUAUAAGUUUGAUUUUUUUUAAGGGUCUUGAAUGGUUUUCUGGAGAGACAGCAUUGGUCAGUGGCACAUGAUGGCAUCCCAGUCAUAAGAAGGUUGCAUGAUUCCUUUGAAUGUUUGAUUUGAAAAGCCUAGUCUUGUCUCUCAAGAGCAUCUCGGACCCAGAACAUUCUCCAGUAGUGCAUUGGUUCAACACGGCAAGUGCUUCGCUCCUUGGAAGACACUUUGAAGACAAAAAAGAAAUAUUAUUUCUUUUUUUUUUAUGUAGCCUUCCUGAUAUUUACAGUAAUCCCACUAACUGUUUUCUUUAUUGAUAGCAAAAAAAGGAUACUUUUUGCAAUGUUCUAUAGUGCUAUAAGGAAUUGCCUUCCAAAUGGAGGUUCAUGUAUAAUACUCAUUUACAAUUCAAUAUAUAAAUAAUUUUUAAAUAUAAUCAAUAAUAAAGACUGUUCUGUGGAUGGUAGUGUUUAAUACAUUUUAUAUUUUGUAUAGUGAUUUUAGGCCUUUUGUUUUCUUAAAAUCAGCAGCUUUUUAGCCUAAUUCUUAGCAUUAUUUUGUCCUUUGUGCCAGUAUGUUUUUGUGCACGCUUUUUGUGAUCUGUGGCAAAAACCUGCAUUGCCAACAUUGCAGCUGGAACUUAAACUUGUUAUUCAAAUACAUAUUUAUUUUUUUAAUUACUCUU